GACGUGGCAGCUGGUUGGACGAGGGGAGCUGGUGGGCAGGGUUUGAUCCCAGGGCCUGGGCAACGGAGGUGUAGCUGGCAGCAGCGGGCAGGUGAGGACCCCAUCUGCCGGGCAGCUGCCGAAGGCCAAGACGCCAGGUCCGGUGGACGUGACAAGCAGGACAUGACAUGGUCCGGUGUGACGGCGAGGACAGAGGAGGCGCGUCCGGCCUUCCUGAACACCUUAGGCUGGUGGGGCUGCGGCAAGAAGCGGGUCUGUUUCUUUACUUCCUCCACGGAGUCGGCACACUAUGGCUGCCCUCUGGGCUCCCAGAACCCACAACAUGAAAGAAAUGGUGCUACCCAGCUCAAGCCUGGGCCUUUGAAUCCGGACACAAAACCCUCUAGCUUGGAAAUGAAUAUGCUGCACUUUACAACCACUGCACUACCUGACUCAGGAAUCGGCUCUGGAAGGUGAAGCUAGAGGAACCAGACCUCAUCAGCCCAACAUCAAAGACACCAUCGGAACAGCAGCGCCCGCAGCACCCACCCCGCACCGGCGACUCCAUCUUCAUGGCCACCCCCUGCGGCGGACGGUUGACCACCAGCCACCACAUCAUCCCAGAGCUGAGCUCCUCCAGCGGGAUGACGCCGUCCCCACCACCUCCCUCUUCUUCUUUUUCAUCCUUCUGUCUCUUUGUUUCUGAGCUUUCCUGUCUUUCCUUUUUUCUGAGAGAUUCAAAGCCUCCACGACUCUGUUUCCCCCGUCCCUUCUGAAUUUAAUUUGCACUAAGUCAUUUGCACUGGUUGGAGUUGUGGAGACGGCCUUGAGUCUCAGUACGAGUGUGCGUGAGUGUGAGCCACCUUGGCAAGUGCCUGUGCAGGGCCCGGCCGCCCUCCAUCUGGGCCGGGUGACUGGGCGCCGGCUGUGUGCCCGAGGCCUCACCCUGCCCUCGCCUAGUCUGGAAGCUCCGACCGACAUCACGGAGCAGCCUUCAAGCAUUCCAUUACGCCCCAUCUCGCUCUGUGCCCCUCCCCACCAGGGCUUCAGCAGGAGCCCUGGACUCAUCAUCAAUAAACACUGUUACAGCAA
rnacentral:lncRNA from 1 species